CUGUUUGAAAUCAGAGAUAAGAAACUACACAGGUUUGAGUUAUUUCAGAAUGCUUUGCAAUACACCACAGUACUUGGGGGUAUCUCGGGUAUCAUUCUGGUGGAAAGGCACAAAGGAGCUAUUUUUUGAGGGACACGAGCAUCACCCUGUUCAAUUAUAAUUAUUUAACUAGGCAAAGAUAACAAAAAGCCUUAGAGGAACUCACCUUCACG